ensembl:misc_RNA 7SK 7SK RNA
GGGUGCAAGGGCAGCCUCCUUGUCAUAUCUGCCUCACUGAUCUUCAAGGGCCACUGUGACCUGACUGGCUAAGGAGUGGCUUUUUCCUCCCUCCAUGUGUGCCCUUCCUAAAGCUGCACAGGCUGCACAGAGUGGGGCUGUAUAGACAUGGACAAUUUCUCAAUCAAGAUGUGGGCCACAGGGAGGUGCUUGCUCUUCAGUCAAGGGCAUAAGGGUCUCCAUGCUCACAUUAGAACCUCAACACAAUCUCUCAAAGUAAAAAUAAGAACAAACCCCUCCAUCAAAGAUACAAGCCAAGAAAAUUCACCAUU